GACGAACGCUGGCGGCGUGCUUAACACAUGCAAGUCGAACGGAAAGGCCCUGCUUUUGUGGGGUGCUCGAGUGGCGAACGGGUGAGUAACACGUGAGUAACCUGCCCUUGACUUUGGGAUAACUUCAGGAAACUGGGGCUAAUACCGGAUAGGAGCUCCUGCUGCAUGGUGGGGGUUGGAAAGUUUCGGCGGUUGGGGAUGGACUCGCGGCUUAUCAGCUUGUUGGUGGGGUAGUGGCUUACCAAGGCUUUGACGGGUAGCCGGCCUGAGAGGGUGACCGGCCACAUUGGGACUGAGAUACGGCCCAGACUCCUACGGGAGGCAGCAGUGGGGAGUAUUACACAAUGGGCGGAAGCCUGAUGCAGCAACGCCGCGUGCGGGAUGACGGCCUUCGGGUUGUAAACCGCUUUCGCCUGUGACGAAGCGUGAGUGACGGUAAUGGGUAAAGAAGCACCGGCUAACUACGUG
rnacentral:rRNA from 1 species